CAAUUAGUGUACUAUAUGUUUUUCCAACUUCGGUUGUCCAUGACGUGAUAAACAAGACAGUUUGUGUGCACUGUGCAAACUGACAGUUCUGGCUUUGACUGUGUUCCGUGGAAGGGGAACUUGAGCAUUUUUCUUACCAGGAAUGAUUAGAUAUAUUACCGUAUAUGACGGGGAUUCUGGUAGUCUACUCCACCUCGAUUAAGUCCUCAGGUUUAGCUAUGUGAAGCUUCGUGAUUAUUGAUGACUGUUUCUAGAACUAGAGACUGCCAACGUUAAUGGUAAACUGCGACGAGAUAACGGUCCUCAGGAGGAAAAGAACGAAGAUAACGGCCUCUCUCUCUCUCUCCUGAGGACCUCGAGAGAGAGAGAGAGAGAGAGAGAGAAGAAUUUUCAACGUGACUGGGGAUCUACCAUGAAAUGUGAUUAAUAAGAACACCAGCGACUGCCAACGUAUUUAAUGGAGAACUGCGACGAGGCAGGGAUCCUCGGGAGUGUUUUUCUGUAAUUAUAAAUAUGCAAGCCGAUAAUCCAGAGCAGUUUGUAGGAUCGUGUACUCUUUCUGGACGCUUAAAAUUUUUUUUUUUUUUUUUUGGGGCAGGCCUAUGUAUAACUAAGGCGUUACUUGCUCACGUCAGUAUUUAAAUUUAAUUAAAUUCCAACUUUUUGGUUUCAUUAAAUGUAAUUGAAUUCAAAUUUAUUUUCAUAAUCUUUUAAUAACACAUCCUAAUAUAAUGGAUGAAUUACGUACGAAACGAACCACACGAGAAAAUUUUCAAGAAAAAAAACACAACUAUUUAAACUUACCACAAUCUAGAACCAUGAAACUCAAUCUUAUAAAAACUAAUAAAUUUGUUGUCUCAACCCAUCUUAAAAAUACUGAAUGUACGAAUAUUCACCCAUGCCUUGAAAAUUUAGCUGUUAUUCAAGUAUAGUUCUGUUUUUCUUUAAAUAUUGUUUUCCCAUUCCUUUUCACAAAGCGUUUAUUCUAUAAUUAAAAUUUACAAUUUUUCCA